rnacentral:misc_RNA from 1 species
GAGAGAAAAGCAAAUAUCAGUGUUUGGGAAAUGUUCCAGAGCUAGAAAAUGAAGAAGUACAUGGCUGCCAUUUCUUUGGUCCUUUUCUGGUUUGCAAUAUUCUCGCAUUCUAUAGCUGAUCAAGCCUUCGAUGUCCGUCAACACCUCUCCACUGUAACAGGAUAUGGUGCUGUGAAAGAUGUGGGUUGUGUUUCCCUUGAAAAGUCUAGUAUUCAUGAGGGGUGCACUCCUAUCCACUUAAACCUUGUGGCAAGACAUGGAACUCGUUCUCCAACAAAAAAACGGAUGAGAGAGUUGGACCGGUUGGCAUCUCAUUUGGAAGGACUUAUAAGAGAUGCCAAGGAACAGAACUUAUCUUUGCAGAAAGUUCCGACCUGGUUACUGGGUUGGGAAUCUCCUUGGAGAGACAAAUUGAAAGGUGGAGAAUUGAUUAGCAAGGGAGAAGAUGAAUUAUAUGAUCUUGGAAUCAGGAUUAGGGAAAGAUUUCCAGAUUUGUUCAAGGAGGAAUAUCACCCUGAUGUGUACCCAAUAAAGGCGACACAAGUUCCUCGAGCAUCAGCUAGUGCUGUGGCAUUUGGCAUGGGUCUGUUUAGUGAGAAGGGAAGCCUUGGACCAGGGCAUCAUCAAGCUUUUGCAGUCAGCAGUGAAAGCCGUGCAAGUGAUAUAGUGCUUAGGUUUUAUGAUUGUUGUGAAAGCUACAAGGUAUGUGUGUGGUUUGGCUUUUUAGUUGUCAUUGUUGAUUGUGUUUGGAUUCAAAUACACAAUUCUUAAAUCCCAAGUUGAUGAGCUUUAUACAUUCUUAUUUAAUCUGGCUGCUUGAACUCUAAAUUUCUAUGAUGUCAGAAGAAGAGAAUAACUACUACUUGUCGGGUUCAUUUUUCAUGGCUUUCUCUCAGUCUUCCCAUUUUUUGAGCCCAAAACCAUUUGCUUCAAUAGAGCAGCAUUUUCCAUGCUUUGGUCCUUUUGGAACCUUCAACUCAAUCUAAGUAAUGCCUCCUAUCUUUGUUAUUGUUGUUGUGGUGUGGUUAUUUUUAGUAUUAAUUGGAUUGUGUUGAGAACAAUCUUGGAUGACUUUUCCCUUUCAUGUUUCACUUUCUUUCACCUCAUAUUGUACUAUUGGACAAAAUUGAACUGUGAAAUCACUUUAAUGAAUGGCUACUAUGAUUUUCUGGUGCUAGAAUUUUUUUUUUCUAAAUAUAGAAUUAUGGGCACUGUAAUUCUGAAUUCUGGGGGAUGUUCUUUUCUUUUUGUUAAGGAAGUUGCUUUGAAGUGUGUCUUCCUUUAACAGAUGCUUUUGAGAUUUACUUCUUAUUUUUUCCAAUCAUUUUUAAGUUAUUGAAGUGAGACGGAUUGGGAAUUUGUGAAUUUGGCAAUUUACAUUCCUGGUGCAUUGAUCUUUUGUCAUUUGAUUUCCUAUAAAUGCUUCCCAUGGAUGUAGGAUUUUAGGAAAAGCCAAGAGCCAGGUGUCGAUAAGCUUAAGGAACCUAUUUUAGAUGAAAUUACAGCUGCAAUAGUGAGCCGUUACGAGCUUAAUUUUACAAGACAGGACACUUCUUCUCUAUGGUUUCUCUGUAAACAGGAAGCAUCCUUGUUGGAUAUAACAGAUCAAGCGUGUGGUCUAUUCAGUCCUUCUGAGGUAGAUCAGAUUUAACUUUUUUUUUAUUUUGCUAAUUUUUGUUCUUGUUUCUGCAGGGGUUAUUCUGAUGACAAAUCAAUAUGCUGUGUGAAACUAUGCAGACAGCAAAUCUUGUGUGUGUCAUUAACACAACAUUUGUUGAGCAUGAUCAUUUUGUUACUUCUUAAUUUUUGGUGCUUUACGUUGGAUGGCUAAAAGGUUAAAUGCAUGGUUGAUUAGCUUAAGAAAAUGAGUGUUGGCUAGUAUGCAAUGGAUAAUCUUUAUUAGGGAACACAGGAAUGCUAGUCAGAAAAUUCAAGUUACAAAUCAUGCUUGUUUUCAUUCUUUUAUGGAUAUUGACUUGCAAAAAAUUUCAAUGAUUAGGUGGCUUUGCUGGAAUGGACAGAUGACUUGGAGAUGUUUAUAUUGAAGGGUUAUGGUAAAUCAAUAAACUAUCGAAUGGGAGUGCCAUUGCUUAAAGAUGUUGUUCAUUCCAUGGAGCAAGCCAUUAAGGCACAAGAAGGUAAUACACGUCAUCAAAGGAUUGUGUGUAUAUGUAGUCUUCUUUUGUAUUUUAUGCCAUGUCUGGUGCGCUUGCCUUUAAGUCUUAUUGCUGCACAUCUCUUUUGGAUGGAGAAGGCUUGAAGCCUUGGAACAUUCAUGUAUGUUUCUAAAUUUGUAUAUUAUGUUUAUUUUGAGAUUUGACUUUAGCAACUGUCAAUAAUUAGGAUAUGAUUAGUUAUUUCUAGCUUAUCAAAAAAAAGGGGGGGGAUGUGAUUAGUUAUUGAUUUUGCAUUUUUAAUGAAAAAGAGAGAAGAGGGGGGGAAACUAUAUUUCUGUUAAAUUUUCAUGUUGCAGCUUUCAUUGGCUGCUAUAUUUAGUUUGUAUUAUUUUUCCCCAGAUAUCUGUGUUUUGCAUUCUAAGAAAUAGGGAAAUCUAGUAAUUUGAAGUCUUUUACAUAGCUAGCUUGAAAUUAGGGGGAAGCAAUGGUAAAAUUUUCCUUCUCUACUAAUGGUCACCUUGUAAAAGGAUAUUUUGCCAAUGACCUCUUAUUUAGUCUAGAGCUCUAUUUUUACUGCAUUCUGUUCGUUUAGAACAACUUGCUCCUGGAAGUUACGAAAAGGCAAGACUACGGUUUGCACAUGCAGAGACGCUGGUUCCUUUCACAUGUCUACUUGGUCUUUUCCUUGAACGAUCAGAAUUUGAAAAUAUACAGAGAGAACAACCUUUGGAACUUCCUCGAAGGCCUCCCCACAGUAGAAAUUGGUGGGGCAGCAUGGUAGCACCUUUUGCCGGCAACAACUUACUGGUCCUUCACAGUUGUCCAGCAAAUCCUUCAAGCAAGUACUUCAUCCAAGUACUCCACAAUGAACGUCCCAUUACAAUGCCAGGUUGCAAUAAUUCUGAUUUCUGUCCAUUUGAAGAGUUUAAGGAAAUGAUAGUUGCUCCUCAUUUAAAGCAUGACUAUAAUACAAUCUGCACUAAGAAACUGGAACAACCAGAGCAGAAGUUUGAAACUAGUAAGUUAUUGCUACUGUUUCAUUGGCUCUUCUCAUUGGGGAGAGAUGAGACAGAGUCUACCAAAGCUGAUUUAUAGUUUGUUAUUCAAGAAACAAAUGGAGAACCAUUCUUACAUGAUACUUUUUCCUUAUUGGCACUCCAUUAUUUAUGUAAUUUUCAGCCAAUGGCAGCUCUUCCUUUUAGCAGAGUUCCACCUGGAUUGGUCCUAUCGUCAAUAUCGACAUUACUUCUCUGACUGCACAAGUUCACCGACCUCACUUCAUAUUCAGAUAUGGUAGUUUGCUUUGAUACUUCUGAGGCAGCACUUGAACACGUUACUCCUUUCAUCUUGAUAUGUUGUGCUCCUUGUAAAUCACAUAUCUAUCCAGACUGGCUAGUGGCUUUUGGAUCAACCUUUUUCUUGCACUGACUAGAACUUCCAUUGAUUUUCUAGAAUAAUGAAUUAACAAAC